GCAUAUCAAUAAGCGGAGGAAAAGAAACCAACAGGGAUUGCCUCAGUAACGGCGAGUGAAGCGGCCACGCCUUCAAUUGAA
rnacentral:rRNA from 1 species